rnacentral:rRNA from 1 species
UACAGAGGGUGCAAGCGUUAAUCGGAAUUACUGGGCGUAAAGGGCGCGUAGGCGGUUCGGUAAGUCCUGUGUGAAAUCCCUCGGCUCAACUGAGGAACUGCACGGGAGACUGCCGGGCUUGAGUUCGGGAGAGGGAUGCAGAAUUCCAGGUGUAGCGGUGAAAUGCGUAGAUAUCUGGAGGAAUACCGGUGGCGAAGGCGCAUCCUGGACCGGCAUUGACGCUGAGGAGCGAAAGCUAGGGGAGCAAACGGG